GACGAACGCUGGCGGCGUGCCUAAUACAUGCAAGUCGAGCGAGUGAACCUAACUGAUCCCUCCGGGGUGACGUUAGUGGAUCUAGCGGCGGACGGGUGAGUAACACGUGGGCAACCUGCCUGUAAGACUGGGAUAACUCGCGGAAACGCGAGCUAAUACCGGAUGAUACUUUGAACUGCAUGGUUCGAAGAUGAAAGGCGGCGCAAGCUGUCACUUACAGAUGGGCCCGCGGCGCAUUAGCUAGUUGGUGAGGUAACGGCUCACCAAGGCGACGAUGCGUAGCCGACCUGAGAGGGUGAUCGGCCACACUGGGACUGAGACACGGCCCAGACUCCUACGGGAGGCAGCAGUAGGGAAUCUUCCGCAAUGGACGAAAGUCUGACGGAGCAACGCCGCGUGAGUGAUGAAGGUUUUCGGAUCGUAAAACUCUGUUGUUAGGGAAGAACAAGUACAAGAGUAACUGCUUGUACCUUGACGGUACCUAACCAGAAAGCCCCGGCUAACUACGUG
rnacentral:rRNA from 1 species